AUUGAACGCUGGCGGCAUGCCUUACACAUGCAAGUCGAACGGUAACAGGUCUUCGGAUGCUGACGAGUGGCGAACGGGUGAGUAAUACAUCGGAACGUGCCUAGUAGUGGGGGAUAACUACUCGAAAGAGUGGCUAAUACCGCAUGAGAUCUACGGAUGAAAGCAGGGGAUCGCAAGACCUUGUGCUACUAGAGCGGCCGAUGGCAGAUUAGGUAGUUGGUGGGAUAAAAGCUUACCAAGCCGACGAUCUGUAGCUGGUCUGAGAGGACGGUCAGCCACACUGGGACUGAGACACGGCCCAGACUCCUACGGGAGGCAGCAGUGGGGAAUUUUGGACAAUGGGCGAAAGCCUGAUCCAGCAAUGCCGCGUGCAGGAUGAAGGCCUUCGGGUUGUAAACUGCUUUUGUACGGAACGAAAAGCCCUGGGUUAAUACCCUGGGGUCAUGACGGUACCGUAAGAAUAAGCACCGGCUAACUACGUGCCAGCCGCCGCGGUAACAC
rnacentral:rRNA from 1 species